GCAGCGUUUGCAGCCCAACAAACCCCGCCCUUCAGCGCCCAAGAAAGGCUGCUUGUGUCAAAGGGGAGGGGAGAGGGGGACAAACACUGUGCGAUUUACAGGCGUUGUUACACUGGAACAUUUCUGUGACGUGAAAGGAUGUGACCUUCAGGGUUUCUACUGAUCUCUGUGCAGAGAAUCCGAGUGCUGACCCUGCAGUCCCACUGGACACAGCCCAACCCCCAGGAGAAGCCAUCAACCAUCCAGUGCUUGGUGUGUCGAGCACCACCACAGACUGGGGUUUGACAUUUUCAAGGCUUCCUGCACCAGGGUUAUUAUUCAAAAUCCUGGUUGACAUCCUAACAGGAGCAGAGACUGGGCCACAAAAUUGCAGCCUCCUUACCCCCAUCAGACACGUUGUUGGAAGCCAGUUUGGUCCUUGACUGUCUCCUUGCAAGCCAGGAACAACCACCAGCUCCUGGCUGGAGAAACUGGCUGGUGACAGCAGGACUGCAAGUGGUGCCAAGCACGUGGCACUGCCACCCACAGAGCUGUCCCUGUCCCAGAGACGGGCAUCCCUGUGGAGCAGCACAUCCAGCAGGAGCGAUGGGCAGGUGGCUCCAGCUGGGUGCCAGAGGGCACAGAACGAGGCUGCAGCACACUCAGCUCAGGCUUGGCACAUCUGCACCACACCCCCAGCAAAAAAUGAUACAGAUUUCACAAGUACACGCUAGAACAACUAGGCAAAUACUACCAGACUCUCAAAAAAAAUUAAUUCCCAGAUAGUACCUAAUGAGCCAAAGCAACAUUUUCCUUUUGUUUCUACUUGACCAGAUACUCGUGCAUGUGUGCACAAUGUACCAACUGGGAAAACCAUUCCAAAGCCCCAGUUAUUCAUGAUAAAGGUUGCCUAUGCAAUCUUUGCCAUCAGUUAACUAAGUUAAACCAAAAUUCAGAGAGAUUUCUGCUCAUUAAUUAGAAAAGAAUCCUGGGAUAACCUGGAAGUAUAGCUGUGCUGUUCACUGUACCACCAUAUCAAUAUUCAGCCAUUAAAAGCUGACAUUUCCUUGAAAUCAUUAAAAAUUAAAUAAUAAAUGUUACUUUUUAGUACCAAUUACUCCAUAGGGCCUAUCUUCAAGAGCAUUAAAAAUUAAAAUCAUGCUACUCCCAGGGUAGACCUGUUUCAUGCUAUCUAUCGAGAUGAUCAAUACCACAGGUAUUAAUCAAUGCCAAAGGUUGUACCACUUGCAUUAUGCUUGUUCCUCAACUACAACACAUUAACCAAAUCUAAAUUGAAGAUUAUAUUCAUUACAAAGUGGUGUUUCAGCUGCAAAGUCCAACUACAAAUUGUAGUUUUUGCUCUUCUCUGGUUUUAGAUUUAAUUAUUUUUUAAAGUCAUUUUUUAGCAUGUUGCAAUAUUUGCUUCUGUAUUUAUUUUGGGGCUUGAUGGAUAGUGCAAUCAGUCCCUGAACUUUACCCAUCAUUUUCCAUGCCACUGGAGCCUGACCUAAGGAAGGAAGAAUGUGAAACACAGUAUCUUCAUCUUGUUCUAAACAAAAAAAAGCCCCUCUAAACCAGGCUUCAACAGCAGCUGCAAAAGGAGAGGAACCAGGGUCUUCUGCUUCCCUGAAACCCUUCAUUUCUGCUUCCAUUUUCUUUCAGACCUGGUCUCUGCUCAGGAUGGGAAAUUCUGGGGUUUUAAACCAAAACAAACUCCAUUAUUCUCGAGGCCUCAAAUUCCGGGGUUGGAAAUGUGCUUUCAGAUCAGCACCACCCCUGCCAGGCUGGUUGUAAAAUAAAUCUGAAAGUUGGGCCUGAAGGCAAAAAAAGAAAACUUGCCUUCCAAUUUUUACCAAAACCUUCUGGCCUCGGCCCUCUUUUUUUUUUCUCCCUUUUCUUUCUUUCUCUCUUCCCAUUCCCACGAAUUUCAGGCAUGACGUAUGAAGCCUUGAACAUUUAAAUUACUUACAUAUCAACAACAAUACAUUACUAAACACUGCAUCAUAUUUUUCCUGAUAUUUUACAGCCUUUUAUUAAAAGAUUAAACUUUAAGAACCUGAUUCUGCAGGGGCAAGGGACCAAAAAAGUCCUUCAGGACUUUUCUUGCUAUAUAUUUAGGUUCUGAAAAAGCAUUCUAUGGAUUUCAGAGAGCUGGCAAUUUUGUCCAAGUAGAAGAUAAAAAACUAGAUUUUGAACAAUAAUUCCCCAAAAAAGAGGAAAACCUCACAACCACCGAGCAUGACAGGGCCCUUUGAAAUGCAUUUAAGUAUCUAGAGAUAAUUAAAUUUUUUUAAAGCUUGUCCUGUUGAUAAAGUAUAAAGAUUACUUAUUCAAAUAAGGCUUAAACUCUAACACACUGAGCACUAAUGUAAUGAUCCACAGAGAUUUACACCAGAGAUCUCCUAUUGGUGCUUACAGGAACAAAGGUCAGCACCACACUAAUUUAAGGUCAGCUACUUAUUUACCUAAAACAAUUUAAUAUUAUGGCUGUAAAUUCUGAAAAAUCAGACACUUUUAUCUAGUAUUUGACAGAAUUAUGAAAGGUCCAAAGCAAACAGGAUUAAGGGUAUAUUUCAAGCAGAUUUUUAGAGAAAAUAUCCCCACCCUGCUGUAGCCUGCAUGCAGUUUUUUAAAAAUAUUAAAACAUGACCUGCAAAUUACCUGGGGCUUUACAGUUAAUGGAUAGUACUGUUAGAUUAUUAAUAAUCUCGAAAUUUCCAAGGAGCACGGAGUAAAUUGGGACUACGCCGGUAUUUGUGCCGUGCAUACCAAAACAAGCCCUUCAUUAAUAUGCUCUGUAGGACUGGAAAAGAUCUGCAGUGUCACACGAGCCGUUUCACCUACAUAAAGUAUUUAUUCUUCUGCAUUGCUCCUAUUUACCCAUUUUAACCCGCAGCUUUUAUAAUCCUGCACGUGGCACAAAUAGACUCCACACCUUCGGCUACAUUUCACAAUCAGAUAAAUACGCGCUACAGACACCAUUAGCUGAAAACGACCCAUGGCAUCUCAAAGGAAUAAAAUAAGGAAAGAAGGUAAAAGAAUAAAUACCCUUAUCCUUCCAA